CCCUUAGAUGUUCUGGGCCGCACGCGCGCUACACUGACACAAACAGCAAGUUCUGAACCCGGUAGGGCAAAGAAAUCUUUUGAAAUUGUGUCGUGCUGGGGAUAGAUCAUUGUAAUUAUUGAUCUUCAACGAGGAAUUCCUAGUAAGUGCAAGUCAUCAGCUUGUACUGAUUAUGUCCCUGCCAAUUGUACACACCGCCCGUCGCUGCUACCGAUUGGAUGAUCCGGUGAACAAUUCGGAUAGAGUAAUCUAAAAGUUUUGUAAACCUUAUCAUCUAGAGGAAGCAAAAGUCGUAACA
rnacentral:rRNA from 1 species